rnacentral:rRNA from 1 species
CACAUGCUGUGAGCUCGAUGAGUAGGGCGGGACACGUGGUAUCCUGUCUGAAUAUGGGGGGACCAUCCUCCAAGGCUAAAUACUCCUGACUGACCGAUAGUGAACCAGUACCGUGAGGGAAAGGCGAAAAGAACCCCGGCGAGGGGAGUGAAAAAGAACCUGAAACCGUGUACGUACAAGCAGUGGGAGCACGCUUAGGCGUGUGACUGCGUACCUUUUGUAUAAUGGGUCAGCGACUUAUAUUCUGUAGCAAGGUUAACCGAAUAGGGGAGCCGAAGGGAAACCGAGUCUUAACUGGGCGUUAAGUUGCAGGGUAUAGACCCGAAACCCGGUGAUCUAGCCAUGGGCAGGUUGAAGGUUGGGUAACACUAACUGGAGGACCGAACCGACUAAUGUUGAAAAAUUAGCGGAUGACUUGUGGCUGGGGGUGAAAGGCCAAUCAAACCGGGAGAUAGCUGGUUCUCCCCGAAAGCUAUUUAGGUAGCGCCUCGUGAAUUCAUCUCCGGGGGUAGAGCACUGUUUCGGCAAGGGGGUCAUCCCGACUUACCAACCCGAUGCAAACUGCGAAUACCGGAGAAUGUUAUCACGGGAGACACACGGCGGGUGCUAACGUCCGUCGUGAAGAGGGAAACAACCCAGACCGCCAGCUAAGGUCCCAAAGUCAUGGUUAAGUGGGAAACGAUGUGGGAAGGCCCAGACAGCCAGGAUGUUGGCUUAGAAGCAGCCAUCAUUUAAAGAAAGCGUAAUAGCUCACUGGUCGAGUCGGCCUGCGCGGAAGAUGUAACGGGGCUAAACCAUGCAC